UUGCACCUGUGAUUAUAUGUUCUGCCUUCAGUUCUUGUUGGUUAGAUAUUGUACUGGUGCAGAAAGGAAAUGCUGCUCCUUGAGGCAGUGGCGGCCAGACAACCGUUGAGACAGAUCCACAGAUAAAUGACUAAUAUCCUGUUUGUCUACUAAAUCUGUCUCACAUUU
rnacentral:snoRNA from 1 species